GCUUGCUUCAGCAAAGAUGCCUUUGAAAAGAACCAUGUGUGGGCAGAUAAUAUUUUCCACGCAUCCCAAGUUGUCCAGGUGUGUUUCACACACCACCAAUUGCAGAUGUGGGCAUUGCUGCAAGACCAUAAAGACACCAUUCCUAAUUGCCCUUAAAAUGGAGCUGGCAAGCCACCUUCACAAACUAUUGCAGUCCUUCUGGUGAUAGUACUCUCGGAAUCUAGCUGGAGUUACCAGUGUCUGGAGCAGAUACCAGAGGGGUCAAGUGCAGACUUCAAUGAAGAAU